GUCCUCCAGGGAGGUGAAGGUGGGUGGGAGGGUACCUGGGGGUGAAGUAGUGCCUGCAGGUGUGUUAGGGAAGUUCACAGCUCUGUUUAAGUUGCUUCAUUAGGCCUCUGACCUUCCCUGUGAUUAUGCUUCUACUUAAAAUGCUCUGGUUAGUUAUUCAGUGUCCAGUAAAUUGUGUAAUAGUAUAAUUUGUCUUUAAUGAGUUAACCCUGGUUCCUAUGGUGAACUCAUGUGGGGAAUGGGACUGGCUGAAAAUUCUUCCUUCCUUCCCUCUUCCCCCUUGAGCUUACCUCUGCGCUGGGUCCCUGUGCAGCCUCCCAAGGCUCGGCUGGAGCCAGGCCUAACUCGGGAGAAGGGUUGGGAUGGGUGGAAAGGGACGGAGUGGAGCCGAGUUAGAGCCACCCCAUCUGUCCAGCUGCAGCUCCUCGGGGAAGCUUGCCUGUGCAUGAAGCCAAGCAGGGGACAAGUGUGAUCGGGAAGAACAUCAUGUAUAGCCUUUGGACCCAAGAAUCGCUCAAUUGGUGCUGCAGCAAAAAGCCAGGUUAUUUCAAAUGCAAAGAAUACAGUACAAAGU